UAGGGAAUCUUCCACAAUGGACGCAAGUCUGAUGGAGCAACGCCGCGUGAGUGAAGAAGGUCUUCGGAUCGUAAAGCUCUGUUGUUGGUGAAGAAGGAUAGAGGCAGUAACUGGUCUUUAUUUGACGGUAAUCAACCAGAAAGUCACGGCUAACUACGUGCCAGCAGCCGCGGUAAUACGUAGGUGGCAAGCGUUGUCCGGAUUUAUUGGGCGUAAAGCGAGC
rnacentral:rRNA from 1 species